UGCCGACGAUGCACUGGUGGGAUGCUCAGCUAUUGCAGGGACCCAACGAUCUCCUGAUUUGUCCGCUCGCUCCUUCUGCUGUAGCUGCUUGAACCCUACUCUGACUCGGAGAUCUGGGUGCAGCAGGUCCAGGGGAGUCUUUAGGCGCCGCCCCAUCAACAACUCUGCUGGUGUUCGUCCAGUCAGCGUCCCUAAUCCUUCAGAAAACACGGAGUGAAAUCUGCCUGCCAACUCUUCAGUGCUGCUCACCUGAUGCACAUUGACGAGCUGAUCUAGAGGCAUGUUGAAAGCCCUUGCCCAGUUCCGUCCCAGAAGAGCCCGGGAACCACCUCGUACAACAAACAAAGGUAGUAGCUCAGCUUUCCCGCCAAACUCCGCCAUGACCGUCGCCUUGCCGACUACGGCAGCCAGCUGACCGAAGUAGCCCCGCAGUU